ACAUGGACAAAAAAAUUAAAUACACAUCAAUUUGAAAUAAUUGUGAUGAUAGAUGCAGAAAAAAUUUAAGUAUACCUCAAAUCUUUUUGUUUUCUUUAUAACUUUAGUGAUCGUCUUCAUCUUAAGAGAGAAUGGGACAUUGCUCUAAUGCAGGAGUUGUGGAUACAUGAAUGGCAGCCGAUGGCUUCCCAGAAGGCUGUUGACAUACUCCAUAGCCCCUACAAAAAAACUAAUGUAACAUGAUAUUUGAAGCCAAUCCAUCUUCAACAAUUAAAUUACAAAUAAACAUGAAGAUGCUUACC
rnacentral:lncRNA from 1 species